rnacentral:lncRNA from 1 species
CCCACAUUGAAGACAACUACCGCCCAGUGCUGCCCCUCAACGGCCGCACGGUCGAGAAAAUCACCGUGUCAUAAUUCUUCAAGACAUUUACCGGCCACGAAUGAGGACGACGAACUAAGAACAUACUGCUGGACGAAAAUGGAAGUGUGAGACAAUUAAGAGGAAUACGAUUUAAGCAACAGUAUUGAAUCGAAGAAUAUCUUUUUUGUUUUGGUUAAGGGUUAUCAUCCUUCAAUAAAUACAAAUUGCUA